rnacentral:rRNA from 1 species
AUCUGCAGCCGCGGUAAUACGGAGGGUGCAAGCGUUAUCCGGAUUCACUGGGUUUAAAGGGUGCGUAGGCGGGUAUGUAAGUCAGUGGUGAAAUCYCGGAGCUUAACUCCGGAAACUGCCAUUGAUACUAUAUAUCUUGAAUAUUGUGGAGGUUUGCGGAAUAUGUCAUGUAGCGGUGAAAUGCUUAGAUAUGACAUAGAACACCUAUUGCGAAGGCAGCUGGCUACGCAUAUAUUGACGCUGAGGCACGAAAGCGUGGGGAUCAAACAGGAUUAGAUACCCUGGUAGUCCACGCCCUAAACGAUGGAUACUCGACAUACGCGAUACACAGUGUGUGUSUGAGCGAAAGCAUCAAGUAUCCCACCUGGUAAGUACGACCGC